GACGAACGCUGGCGGCGUGCCUAAUACAUGCAAGUCGAGCGAUGAAGGAGAUACUUGUAUCUUUUGAAGAGCGGCGAACGGGUGAGUAACGCGUGGGGAAUCUGCCAAUGAGUGGGGGACAACAUUUGGAAACGAAUGCUAAUACCGCAUAAAAUCUAUUGAGACAUCUCAAGAGAUUGAAAGGAACAAUUGUUUCGCUCGUUGAUGAUCCAGCGUUGUAUUAGCUAGUUGGUGAGGGAAGGGCUCACCAAGGCGAUGAUACAUAGCCGACCUGAGGGGGUGAUCGGCCACGUUGGGACUGAGACACGGCCCAAACUCCUACGGGAGGCAGCAGUAGGGAAUCUUCGGCAAUGUACGAAAGUCUGACCGAGCAACGCCGCGUUAGGGAAGAAGGUUUUCGGAUCGUAAAGCUCUGUUGUUGUUAAAGAACGUUGAUGAGAGUGGAAAGUUCAUCAAGUGACGGUAAACAACCAGAAAGGGACGGCUAACUACGUGCCAGCAGCCGCGGUAA
rnacentral:rRNA from 1 species